rnacentral:lncRNA from 1 species
CUACUUUAUAUCUUUAACCAUUCUUUACUUGUAGCCGUUCUUUAUUAGCUAUUUACGUUCAUUAGCUAUCUUUAUUCUUAUUCUUUAUCAUAUUGUGCUCACUGGCGAUUCUUUCCUAAGGUUACUUUACCUUAGUCAUCUAGCCACCCGACUCGGUCUUGAGUCAAUCAAUCGCGGAUAGUCCGCGCACUGUCUAGCUCGAGGUGAAGGAACUCUCACAUGCACCUCAGCUGGCAACAGCUCACCGUACUCCUGUCCUAGCCGUCUGGUGGCGAACAAUCGCACCUCACCCAACAACGGCCUAGGUAAAUGACUUAGCCACCCGGCGGCGAAAUCGUCGCACAACGCCACGACAGUGGUUCAGUCAACAGGCGGUAGGAUCCAUAAACUGGCUAACCAUCCGGCGGCGAAAUCGUCGCACACGCCACGACAAUGGUUCUUUAGCCCUUGGGCGGCGAAAUCGUCGCACACACCCGACACCCCUUUGGGUGCAUCAACAAGCUUUGAGAUUCCAGAAUCCAUUUCACAUUACUCGAGGGUUAGUUUUAUCCCUAUGGAAUCGACCUAUCUAGGUCCAAGUCUUUACUCGACCUAAUUUAACACUUUAGGUUCGAUUCUUUUAUAUUCUUAGCCCAGGUUUAUUAUCCCUAGAACCAUCAUUCUUUCCAACCUAGGUUCACUUGACUCUAUGUUAAGCACUUUUCAUUUCACAACCUAUGUUCUUUACAUUAGGUUUAACAUCAUUCUUAUUUAACCUAUGUUUAAUAACACUAGGUUCAUUUCAUAUUCAACCUAUGUUUAAUAACAUUAGGUUCAUUUCAUAUUCAACCUAUGUUUAAUAACAUUAGGUUCAUGCCACUCGAUCUAUACAAUGUCCAACCUAGGUUCAAUAACUUAGGUUCACGCCACUCGAUAUAUAUAUGUCUUCCUAGAUAUUCUUUUCUAGGUCCACAGUUUACAUAUUCAUAAAUUCUCAUUUAUCUUGUUACCAUCGAGGUUUCUAAUCAACUAGAAGCAUCGAUAUUCAUACAACCUGAACUAUAGUACAUUCAUUUUCAUAUAUGUUUAGACAUAGGCAUCGAACAUUCACUUUCAUAAACAUUUAACACGAACUUUCUUUAAUACUAACUUUCACGUAUCAACAAUUAUCUAUGCUCUAGCAUUUAUGUUCGCAUUUCGACAAUUAUAUUCAUAUGCAUCUAGCAUUCAUGUUCAUAUAAUAAGCAUUAUAAAUCAUCUAGCAUCAACCAUCUUAUGUCAACAAUCAUAUAUGCGUACUCAUAUGCGUCUAGCAUUUAUGUUCGCAUUUCGACAAUCAUAUUCAUAUAUGCGUCAAGGAAACCAUAUUUUUCUUUGGCAUGGAAGUGACCUAAUCACUUCGGUAAACACAACCCACCUUUAUUUGAUACCUGGAUGUGAGAAAUCCACUUUCCACACUUUCCCGAGAAUUGCGAUUCCGCGCUCGCGACAAUUGUAGCCGAAAAUGUCCUUUUGGCGCUAUCUUUGCGUAGGAUCGACGGAUUGCCGAACCGACUUCGCCAACGAGUUUCUUUUACCCUCAAUUAGGUUUGUACGCGGUCAAUUUCAAGUUAGGACUUUAAUCCUGCAAAAGCGCAUUAUCGAGCUUAGGUUUCCAUUUAACCGUUUCUAUGUAAACCUUAGCUUUUCUCUAGGUUUCCAUGGCAAUUUCAGCCAUUAGAAACCUAUAAUCCCUUGCCUUAACUCAUUUUCCUCUUGUCAGGUUCACAUACAGGACAUCCAUAGGCCUACUUUCUUGGACUAACAACAAAACAGCUUUAUGGAUUCAUGCUGCCAGCAUAGGUGGGAAUUCAGCUUUAAUAAACUGAAUUCAGCUUACUCACACACAUGUGGAGAUUCAAUCUUAACACCCCACAACCUACCAUUAGGGAAUUGAAGAACUUGACAUCAAUCCCUACUUAAAACCUGCAUAAGAGCUGGUUUUAGUCCUGUCAUCUUCACACUUCUACGCACUUCACCUUUAACCCAACUCACAUAUGCUGCUAGCAUGCAUCACUAAGCUUCCCCACAAUUUCCUCAUGACAUUAGAGGUUCUAACAACCUAGAAACCAUACUAAAUCAGAUAUAGGGUCAAUAUCAUCACCUCUAAUAAGGAGAUAGCAAUUAUUUACCUCAGAUUUUGAAGCUCCAACUCAAAACUCGCUCUCCGCGGAGCUUUCUUCCCCGCUGCUGCAGUUUUUCGCAGCAUAACAUCACUCCAUCACUUCUCCAUUAACCCUCUGCAUGUGGCUUAAAGAGAGAAGAAAGAAGAAGAGAGAAUAAACGUGGUGGAGGAGAAGAAAAAGAGGACGAAAGAGAAGGAAGGAAAAUUCUUCUCUGCUCUGAUCUUCCUCACAGCCAACACAAACUCCACCUUUCUUUUCUCCAAAUCCUUUCAAGAGUCCCCCCCACAGCCCUCUUGUAUGGUUUAGAGAGAGAAGGAAAAGAGAGGAAAA